AGUGAACGCUGGCGGUAGGCCUAACACAUGCAAGUCGAACGGCAGCACAGUAAGAGCUUGCUCUUACGGGUGGCGAGUGGCGGACGGGUGAGGAAUACAUCGGAAUCUACUUUUUCGUGGGGGAUAACGUAGGGAAACUUACGCUAAUACCGCAUACGACCUACGGGUGAAAGAAGGGGAUCUUCGGACCUUGCCCGAUUGAUUGAGCCGAUGUCGGAUUAGCUAGUUGGCGGGGUAAAGGCCCACCAAGGCGACGAUCCGUAGCUGGUCUGAGAGGAUGAUCAGCCACACUGGAACUGAGACACGGUCCAGACUCCUACGGGAGGCAGCAGUGGGGAAUAUUGGACAAUGGGCGCAAGCCUGAUCCAGCCAUACCGCGUGGGUGAAGAAGGCCUUCGGGUUGUAAAGCCCUUUUGUUGGGAAAGAAAAGCAGCAGGUUAAUACCCCGCUGUUCUGACGGUACCCAAAGAAUAAGCACCGGCUAACUUCGUG
rnacentral:rRNA from 1 species